rnacentral:miRNA from 10 species
AAUACCCAGUUAAAUUUGAAUUUCAGAUAAACAACAAAUAAAAUUUUAAUGUAAGUAUGUUCCAUGCAAUAUUUGGGACAUACUUAUACUAAGCCAUUAUUUGUUAUCUGAAAUUCAAAAUUAA